UACGUAGGGGGCAAGCGUUGUCCGGAUUUAUUGGGCGUAAAGCGCACGCAGGCGGUGCGGUAAGUUUCGAGUGACAGGUGGUGGCUUAACUGCCACAGGCCUUGGAAAACUGCCGCACUUGAGGGCUUGAGAGGGACGCGGAAUUCCAGGUGGAGCGGUGAAAUGCGUAGAUAUCAGGAGGAACACCGGUGGCGAAGGCGGCUUCCUGGACACUUACUGACGCUGAGACGCGAAAGCGUGGGGAGCAAACAGG
rnacentral:rRNA from 1 species